rnacentral:rRNA from 1 species
AUUGAACGCUGGCGGCAGGCCUAACACAUGCAAGUCGAGCGGAUGAAGGGAGCUUGCUCCUGGAUUCAGCGGCGGACGGGUGAGUAAUGCCUAGGAAUCUGCCUGGUAGUGGGGGAUAACGUCCGGAAACGGGCGCUAAUACCGCAUACGUCCUGAGGGAGAAAGUGGGGGAUCUUCGGACCUCACGCUAUCAGAUGAGCCUAGGUCGGAUUAGCUAGUUGGUGGGGUAAAGGCCUACCAAGGCGACGAUCCGUAACUGGUCUGAGGAUGAGCAGUCACACUGGAACUGAGACACGGUCCAGACUCCUACGGGAGGCAGCAGUGGGGAAUAUUGGACAAUGGGCGAAAGCCUGAUCCAGCCAUGCCGCGUGUGUGAAGAAGGUCUUCGGAUUGUAAAGCACUUUAAGUUGGGAGGAAGGGCAGUAAGUUAAUACCUUGCUGUUUUGACGUUACCAACAGAAUAAGCACCGGCUAACUUCGUG